UAGGGAAUCUUCCGCAAUGGGACGAAAGUCUGACGGAGCAACGCCGCGUGUGUGAAGAAGGUCUUCGGAUCGUAAAGCACUGUUGUUAGAGAAGAAUGCUUAUCAUAGGGAAUGAUGAUAGGGUGACGGUAUCUAACCAGAAAGCCACGGCUAACUACGUGCCAGCAGCCGCGGUAAUACGUAGGUGGCAAGCGUUUGUCCGGAUUUAUUGGGCGUAAAGGGAGCGCAGGUGGUGCCUUAAGCCUGAUGUGAAAGCCCACGGCUCAACCGUGGAGGGUCAUUGGAAACUGGGGCACUUGAGUGCAGAAGAGGAAAGCGGAAUUCCAUGUGUAGCGGUGAAAUGCGUAGAUAUAUGGAGGAACACCAGUGGCGAAGGCGGCUUUCUGGUCUGUAACUGACACUGAGGCUCGAAAGCGUGGGGAGCAAACAGGAUUAGAUACCCUGGUAGU
rnacentral:rRNA from 1 species